AUUGAACGCUGGCGGAAUGCUUUACACAUGCAAGUCGAACGGUAGAGGGGGCAACCCCUCGAGAGUGGCGAACGGGUGAGUAAUAUAUCGGAACGUGCCCAGUCGUGGGGGAUAACGUAGCGAAAGUUACGCUAAUACCGCAUACGAUCUAAGGAUGAAAGCGGGGGAUCGCAAGACCUCGCGCGAUUGGCGCGGCCGAUAUCAGAUUAGGUAGUUGGUGGGGUAAAGGCUCACCAAGCCAACGAUCUGUAGCUGGUCAGAGAGGACGACCAGCCACACUGGAACUGAGACACGGUCCAGACUCCUACGGGAGGCAGCAGUGGGGAAUUUUGGACAAUGGACGCAAGUCUGAUCCAGCCAUUCCGCGUGCAGGAUGAAGGCCCUCGGGUGGUAAACUGCUUUUGUACGGAACGAAAAGGUCUCUCCUAAUACGGGGGGCUCAUGACGGUACCGUAAGAAUAAGCACCGGCUAACUACGUGCCAGCCGCCGCCGUAA
rnacentral:rRNA from 1 species